UUUUUUUUUUUUUUUUUUGGCUACACCUAUAGCAUACAGAAAUUCCUGGGCCAGAGAUCAAAACUGCACCACAGCUGUAACCAGAGCCACAGCAGUGACAAGGCUGGAUUUUUACCCACUGAGACACAAGGGAACUCCCACACUUUUUAAAUAUACAAAUGUUAUCAUGCUGUAAGUCUUGACUUUCCUUUUAUUUUACUAUUUUCCUACUAGGUUUUUCAGAUAAUCCAUCAAGUUCAAUUGCAUCUUACUACUGCAUACAAUUAAAAAGUAUGUAUCCACUGAAUUAUAUUAAUCCAUUCCUUUAGAAAUAAAUAGGUUGGCUUCAGUUUACCCUUAGUGCAAAAUCCCAAAAUAUUGAUGGGUCAUACAGAAAAGUCAUACAUACUGAAUUUUGAUAAAUACCUCAAGGUUGUUAAGUCAUGAUUACCAAGUAAAAAAUAUUACCAAUUAAAUCAUAAAAAUUGAAUAGUAUUUCUCUGUACCAGCAACAACCAAGCCCAACCAUUUUUCUGCAUCAUUUUUUUGGUCCAGCUCCACUAUCCCACUUACCUGUUUGAUGCCCGAUUCCUUUAGAGCCUCAAUUAUGGGUAAAAAUGAUAACAUCAUUGUUUUAAUUCAUUCAUUCCACAAAUACUUAUUGAAUACUUAACAUGCGUCAGGUGUUGUGCUCAGUGCUGGAGAUGGACAUGGUCCCUUUCCUGUAUGGUUGGACAGCUGUGUAUACAAAAAGCUACAAGGACAGAAGUGUGGACAGAAGAGGCUCAGGGGGAGCCUGUUAGGAGAGACAUCAUUCUGGAAGGGGAGCACAAGCGACAGAGAUGGAGUAGGAGAUUUACACAGGUAGUUGUAGAAGUCCCACACGGGGACCACAAAUAGAGAAGGAAACCUAGGGGGCUCUGGGAGACCACCGUAAGUUAAUAAUCACUCAAGAAAGCUAACAGAACGUCUUGGAAUGGGAAGUUCCCAUCGUGGCUCAGCGGUUAAUGAAUCCAACUAAUAACCAUGAAGACACAGGUUUGAUCCCUGGCCUUGCUCAGUGGGCUAAGGAUCCAGUGUUGCCAUAAGCUAUGGGGCUGGUCACAGAUGCAGCUCAGAUCUGGCAUUGCUGUGGCUGUGGCAUAGGCUGGCAGCUACAGCUCUGACUCAACCCCUAGCCUGGAAAUUUCCAUGUGCCAUGGAUGUGGCCCUAAAAAGACAAAAGAUAAAAAAAAAAAAAAAAUCUUGGAAUGAAGCAGGCUUGCUUAACUAUAAAACCAUUAAUAAAAGAAUGAGCUAUGCCUCAGGUCAUUAAGUGAAAGCCAAAAUGAGGUCUGCAUUCCAGUUCAGCAAGAUAAUGAUCCUUGGAUGAAGAAGAGGAAUUGAAGGGAAAGAUGACCUUCCAAAGCAGGAGAUCCUCAUUAUACAGAAGCCUGAGCUGAUUCAACAUAUUUUAGCAUAUGUGACCACCCUUCUGCUGAUUUGAAUAAGCUCCAUGACACUCCUGGUUUGACCUCAUAGAGUCAAAUACUAUUACGGGAUAGAAGGAGGAACUAGAGAUGUAAGCCUGAUGUCUACUGAAAGAAUGAGGAAGAAGCCGGGCUUUUCCCCCUCCCCACUUUCUUUGGAUGAUAAAACUGUAGCCCACCUGAUCCUCCUUGCAGAGCCUCCUUGCCUGCCCGCUUGCCUCUCUCACAAGCAUCUUCUCUUAAUAAAUCUAUUUCUUGCCUAUCACUUUGUCUCUCGAUGAAUUCCUUCCGUGCUGAGGUGCAAAGAACCUGAACUUCAGUAAUUCCAGACACUGGGUUGAGUGAUUCUAAUGAAAACAGAAAAAAACAGAACUGUGUGUUUAAGUCCCAGUCUGGGUUCUGGCUGCGUUCGAGUCCAAGGUGUUUUUGGUUUCACAAAACCAUCCCUUUCGCCCCGGCGGAUUCUAAACUCUGGUCCAAACAGCCAUGUUUGUCUAGUCCAACAUUGUGUCUCUAGUGCCUGGUUCAAGCCUUGGUAGUUUUGGCUUAAAAGAGAUGCACAACCUAACAUUUGAGAGUUAAGUUUUAUUUGGGAGAAAAUGAAGACAAUCCUGGGAGGCAGCAUCUCAAAUAACCCUGAGAAAACUGCUCCCGGAGGCAAGCGGGGAGCUAAGGAGUUUGGGGAACAAAGGGCAGGUUGUAGGAAUAAAAGGUUAGUUGCUAAUAACAGAAAACUAGAUACCUCGGUUAGGGAUUUUAGCACCUUUCUAUAUAUGGGAAGAUGCAAAGCUCUGGGCUCACUGAAAUAAUUCCUUUUUUUGGACACCCCAAGGCAAAUGGAGUUCUGGCAGCUGUAGCAACACCAGAUGUGUGAUCCACUGUGUCAGGCCAGGGAUCAAACCUGUGUCCCCAUGCUCCUAAGAUGCUGCCAAUCCAUUGUGCCAGAGCAGGAACUCCAGAAAUCAUUCCUUCAAUAUGCACCUCUGUUACCUGGGGCCUGAGUUUCCUCAGGGCUCACCCUUGGGAGUGGCUGCCGGCUGGUGGCUGCUAGGGGGCAGGUGUUCUCCGUCUCCUUUCCGAGUCCCCUCAGGGCUCACAGGCUCACCCUUGCAGGGAGCUGACAUCCUUUGUUUACUGGUAGGGCAGGCAAUGUUUUAUUUCUCAAUAGAUUGCCAAUGGUCAGUAAUUUGUGUUUAAUGAGUAGAUGAAUCUCUGAAGACAAAGAGGUGUUUCCAAGUCAGGAGAGAGAAAGAAGGGUGGGCAGAGGUCAUUUCAGGCAGAAGAAACCAUCAUUUUUAAUUUUCAACAGGCCAAUAUUCAAAUUCAAUGUAUAUAAAUAUUCUCAACAAAAUACAAGCAAAUUGAAUCCAACAACUCAUAAAAAGAAUUAGGCUCUUAAACACGGCAAAUUUUAUGUGAUCUAUAUCUCGCCACAAUAAAAAAUAGUAAAAUAUUAAAAAGAACGGUACACCAUGGGCAAAUGGGAUCCAUCCCGUUUGAACAUCAGAAAAACCAACCAAGGUGACACGCAUUCCAAAAUUCACGUGAUCAUCUCAGUAGGUGCAGGAAAAGCACUCGACAAAAUCCAAGUUCACAGACCUCCAGAUUAAGAACGCCUGUCCUGGAACGUCUCCAAACACAGGUGACAAAUACUAGAGAAGGAACACUCCAGUGCUAGAAGGUGGAUCUUGGGAGUGCAACUGGGAAAAGAACCAUGAUGUUUAAAGCGUAAGAAAGCCCUUGGGUAUUGGGGAAUCUUUGAGGAGUUCAAGCUAAUCCAAGAGCAAGGUGUUAAAUACGUGGGGAAAAGGUGAACAAUGAAGCGGAAGUCGUGACCAUGGAUCAGACUGCUGUGCCAUGUUGAAAAGAUGAGAUUUUAUCCCGAGGACAGGGGUAUCCGUGGAAAAGUUUUAACCAAGGAAGAGAAAUGAUCAAUCUGCAUUUUAGAAAGUGACAAAUCGGUAAGAGGAUGAAUUUGGGGUAGGAACCAAGACAAAUUCAAGACAGGAGAACGUUGGGGAGAGCGUUAUAUUAGGGGCUUGAUGGGAAGACACUGAGAAUCUCAACCAACUUGGCAUCAGUGGGGCUCAAGCAAUAUUAAAGGAUGACCAGUCAUGAGCCUCACAUGGGAAUGAAAAUCAAGAGGAGUCAUACAACCAAUAUUAGGCGAAUGUCUGCUCCGUGACAAGGCCAGAACUAAGGCUCCUCUUCUCAGGCAGGGUACCGUCUAGUCCAGGUUUCAGUCAAUAAACAGUAGAUGUCUGCUAAGUUCCAUGACAAAGGAGACCCCGGGAGUAGGAGAGCAACUAGCAGCGACGCCCACCUGGUCUCUGCGUGGGUAACUUCCGCCAUGAAUCAGAAUGAAAAUUGAGGCCUGAAAGAUGAAAAGAACUGUCCAGGAGAAAAGCCAUGGAAGGAAUGGAAGAUGCAGGCCUGGCCACAGCUGCACAGGUGAAGAAGCGCAUGGAACCUUGGAGUGACAGAAAGAAGUCUGCUGUGCUGAGGGCACCCGGGAGAGCUGAACUGCAGUGCCAUGUGGGCACUGCUCCUCGAGGGGCGUCCUCAAGGGCUGAGAAGCUUGGGCUUUAUCUUAGAGAAAGUGACACGCCAUCGGAAUGUCUUGAAGAAAGAAGUGACACCAUCAGAUUUGCAUUCCAGACACGUGGCUCUGCUGCUCUGAGAAAGGCUGGUUGGAAGGUCUCGGGACUGGGCUGCUGGCUGGAUGGUGAUCUGGGUGACAGAGGACAGCGGUCUGAGCAUCAUGGCCAGGAGAGAGCACAGACAUGUGAUGGGACCUUUCUGCGGCUUCAGUAGGAGCUGGUAAUCAAUUAGAUGCAGGAGAAAAGGAAAAGGACCCCAGAUGUGAGGGCCAAAAUUAGAGGAGGAACUGGGUUGUGAAUAAUGGCCAUUUCCCCUGAGCUGUAGUACGCUGGAGAGAACUCCAGUUCUGGGGUGUGUGUAUGUGUGUGUGUGUGUGUGUGUACAGGAGGGCCGAUGUAGAACAGGCACCACAGGGUUUAGCUGAAGACAGCUUGAAUUUGAGACAAUCAGGUAGCCUGAGUCAGGAGCUUAAAUCCAGCCCGGAGACAUUGAUUUUCGAGCCACUGAGACACAGACGUAGGCAGACCCAUGAGAAUGGAUGAGAACUAGAGUAGGGUGAGAAUAAAGAAGAAGGAACUGGAUUUCCCGCUGUGGUACAGCGGGUUACAGAUCCAGCAUUGCCUCUCUGGUGUCGUGGGGUUUGAUCCCCAGCCUGGCCCCAUGACUUAAGGAUCCAGCAUCGCUGCAGCUGUGGCCACUCAGACUCCAUCCUGGCCUGGGAAAUUCCACAUGCCAAGGGGGAUCCGGGGAAAUCAGCAACUACAGAAAGAUGGAGUUAGAGAGGUUGACUCAUAAAUAAACUC
rnacentral:lncRNA from 1 species